rnacentral:rRNA from 1 species
GAUGAACGCUGGCGGCGUGCCUAAUACAUGCAAGUCGAGCGAACAGACGAGGAGCUUGCUCCUCUGACGUUAGCGGCGGACGGGUGAGUAACACGUGGAUAACCUACCUAUAAGACUGGGAUAACUUCGGGAAACCGGUGCUAAUAACGGAUAAUAUAUUGAACCGCAUGGUUCAAUAGUGAAAGACGGUUUUGCUGUCUCUUAUAGAUGGAUCCGCGCCGCAUUAGCUAGUUGGUAAGGUAACGGCUUACCAAGGCAACGAUGCGUAGCCGACCUGAGAGGGUGAUCGGCCACACUGGAACUGAGACACGGUCCAGACUCCUACGGGAGGCAGCAGUAGGGAAUCUUCCGCAAUGGGCGAAAGCCUGACGGAGCAACGCCGCGUGAGUGAUGAAGGUCUUCGGGUCGUAAAGCUCUGUUAUUAGGGAAGAACAAAUGUGUAAGUAUCUAUGCACGUCUUGACGGUACCUAAUCAGAAAGCCACGGCUAACUACGUG